rnacentral:rRNA from 1 species
UACGUAGGGUGCGAGCGUUAAUCGGAAUUACUGGGCGUAAAGCGUGCGCAGGCGGUUAUUUAAGACAGGUGUGAAAUCCCCGGGCUUAACCUGGGAAUUGCGCUUGUGACUGGAUAGCUAGAGUGCGGCAGAGGGGGGUGGAAUUCCACGUGUAGCAGUGAAAUGCGUAGAUAUGCGGAGGAACACCGAUGGCGAAGGCAAUCCCCUGGGCCUGCACUGACGCUCAUGCACGAAAGCGUGGGGAGCAAACAGG